UACAGAGGGUGCAAGCGUUGUUCGGAAUUAUUGGGCGUAAAGGGCGCGUAGGCGGUGCGGUAAGUCUGUAGUGAAAUCUCUGGGCUCAACUCAGAGUCUGCUAUAGAAACUGCCGUGCUAGAGUGUGGGAGAGGUGAGUGGAAUUCCCGGUGUAACGGUGAAAUGCGUAGAUAUCGGGAGGAACACCUGUGGCGAAAGCGGCUCACUGGACCACAACUGACGCUGAGGCGCGAAAGCUAGGGGAGCAAACAGG
rnacentral:rRNA from 1 species